rnacentral:rRNA from 1 species
ACGCACGCUGGCGGCGUGCCUCAUCCCUGCCAGUCGAACGAGAGCGACCGGUGCUUGCACUGGUCAAUCUAGUGGCGAACGGGUGAGUAACACGUGGGUAACCUGCCCAUCAGAGGGGGAUAACAUCCGGAAACGGAUGCUAAAACCGCAUAGGUCUUCGAGCCGCAUGGCUUGAAGAGGAAAAGAGGCGCAAGCUUCUGCUGAUGGAUGGACCCGCGGUGCAUUAGCUAGUUGGUGAGGUAACGGCUCACCAAGGCCGUGAUGCAUAGCCGACCUGAGAGGGGGAUCGGCCACAUUGGGACUGAGACACGGCCCAAACUCCUACGGGAGGCAGCAGUAGGGAAUCUUCCGCAAUGGACGCAAGUCUGACGGAGCAACGCCGCGUGAGUGAAGAAGGUUUUCGGAUCGUAAAACUCUGUUGUUAGAGAAGAACAAGUGCUAGAGUAACUGUUAGCGCCUUGACGGUAUCUAACCAGAAAGCCACGGCUAACUACGUG